UACAUGUGGGGCAAGCGUUGUUCGGAAUUACUGGGCAUAAAGGGUGCGUAGGCGGCUUGUUAAGUCAGGGGUGAAAGUUUUCGGCCCAACCGGAAAAUUGCCUUUGAUACUGGCGAGCUGGAGUGCGUGAGGGGUGACCGGAACGAGUGGUGUAGCGGUGAAAUGCGUAGAUAUUGGGAAGAACACCUGAGGCGAAGGCGGGUUGCUGGGCUGAUACUGACGCUGAGGCGCGAAAGCCAGGGGAGCAAACGGG
rnacentral:rRNA from 1 species